UAGUAUAGUUGUUGGUCAAAAAUAGUGAUCUUUCUGCUGUACUGUAAGAGUACGAAUUUUAAUGUUAGGGCCUUGAACCAUGUGUUGUUAUAGGUAGUAGUGACGAGAUAACAAGUCUUAAGCAGCGGGAUUUGAGGAUCUUAUCCUCAACAAGAAAAUUCAUUGAGGUGCUUGGAGUAGCAAGAAGGUGUUCUUAACAACUGAGGUAAAGACAAAACUAAGCAGUGAGGAUGGCGAGCUCGAGACGUGGAUUACAUGUUAGGGGAUUGUCACGAUGUUUUGGUUUAAAAAUAUUUCAUUAAAGAUUAUGAUUCAAAUAGUUUUUGUAAAGGUUUAUAUUUUAAGGUUAUGAAUAAAUAAAUGUUUUGUUUUAAAAAUAA